CAUGCGCAGAACUUUCCCCUUACCCUAUCGCGCUUAUUGGCCUCGCCCCAACUUGUUUAUGCGCGUGCGCAGUUUCACGCAGUGUUCUGAGAUGACUACUGCGCAAGCGAUGGGGAAAUAAACAGGGUGGUAGAUGUUGGGCGCAAGCGCAGAAACAAAUAACAAAAAAUUUAUUUUAGCACUGCGCAUGCGUAAGAGAAGUAUCACGCUUGACUUUGAGUCAGAUUCCAAACGUCCGGAAGUAAAAGAAGGAGGAGCUGUUUCGUUGUCACGCCUCUGAGUUCUGUUGCUCAGCAACGCUAGAGGCCUUUGCGUGUUGCUCAGGCGCUGUAGGUUCUCGCCAAUCUGGAGGCACUUUCGUAUGGAAUUUCUAAACUGAGUGAAAGUCGAAGCGGUUGCCUUUUGUAUAAAUUUGUCGCACCAUUAAUCAUACGACCUCUGGGUCUGAGGGCAUGAGAGACAUUGGUGAUUGUUCUUGAGACUGAGGUUGUCUGGACAAGAUCGCCCCAAUGAGGACUGUGAAUGGCAAAGAUCCAAGUUGUGGGAGCCAAGGGAAUGUUCCUUAUGGGGACUGGCAUGUAUGCCCAAAACCCAAAGCAGGGGAGCGAGGCUAAUACAGCCUCUCCUGCUAUGAAAGCAGCUGUUCCUCAUGAGGAAAACAAGUGAUUUGUUAGCUAGAAGUGAAACGUGGCUGAUCCAGUGGGUGGCUUGGAGUACAAGAAGAGCAACCAACUCCAUAGACUUGCUCACAUCCCUCAGCCUUGACAUCUAAGAAGCAAGUCCUGUGCCAAAGAUUUUUGGACCCAUAAGACUCCACCACAUAUCUUAUUUAAAUUGAUCGAAUGUUAUCUGAGAAGGAAGAAAAAUCUUUUUUCUUAGCCACAAUGGAGUCAUGAUCCUGGGACCAAAAGCACUGUUCUGACUUUUUCAUCAUCAGGCCGGAUUACAUUUGCUAAGGUGAUCACCAGUUCUGGCUUUGCAGAUGAAUUAUCAACAGCCACAGCUGCUCAUGUAACAGACUAAGAUGCUUGUCUAGUUCACUUGUUAAACUGUCUCCAAGAUGACGAAAACCGAUAACAGAUUCAUUGAAGGAUUUACGAUGGACCUGUUGCAACUGGCAAGCUCUGCUUUGUAGAUGCACACAUGCGCACCCAAGGUCUGCACCAUUCAAGUGGCAGGAAAUGAGCAGGAAGGAAGUCCAGCCUCUACUUACCAGAAGCCCAAAGCCAAACAUAGUCCCGCUCCCCAAUAACAGCAUGUUGCCGGCUAAGUCACUUGCAAAAUAAUUGGAUCCCUUUUUCCAACAUCCAACUCCCUCCAAUCUAAAGCAGCAACAAGUAGAAUUGCUAUAGAUCUCCAGAUAAAAUGUGCACAUACGAAGAUAGCAGGAAUAGAAAGGCAAGGAAAGUAUCCUAGUUCCAGCAAAGCAUGUAAUCCAUUUUCAUUGCAACUGACUUGCCCCAACGCUACGCUGUCGCUCCAAAUUAAAAGGAGAGACUGUGAAAAAAAAAGCUCUGUUCAAGCUGGAUGCUUGUCCAAGGAGAGCAAGCCUGAGAGGACAUCCAGUGUCCCCUGUAUAAAGAUGAGCAAAAAAGGCAUCUGUAACGAAAUCCCAGGGACAGAAGAUAGCCCCUCUGAAACCAAUGAUGCAGAAGAUGUUUCCUGCAGGAAGCAGCCUGGCACAAGAUAGGAGUAAGCAAAGAGCAUAUAGGUCCAAACCGUAUCUUACACAGAGGAUUUUGCUCAAACUGAACUCAUGUUGGACUUCCUUUCUCAUCCAUCAGUUUCAUGUUGCUCCUCAUCUGAAGAAUGAAUGGGCAGUGGUCAGGAGCCACUUACAAAACCAUUCCAAGAAACUAGGUUUACUUAAAGUAUUUUCCCACCUCCCUCAGCAGGAUGUGACUGAUAUGAUUCCACUGUCUUACUAGUUUCUUAAUUUCUUGGCAGUCUUGCAACUAAGGUGCAGACUACUUCAACGCCCCGGCCAGUGACCCAUACGUUUUGGACAAAUCAGUCUGCUGCCUGCCUCCUCUGGUAAAAGAAGCAAGGGAAAGAUCUCAGAAAGCAGGAGGGUGUUUGGUUUUGACUGAGAAAAAAGCACCCAGCAAUGGCACAAAAAACCACCCCAACCUAGAGUCCAUUAAAACAUGCACUUUUGUCAGUAAUGUAAACAGAGAAUGUUCACCAAUCAUUCACUUACACUUUUCGUUGCCAAUAUUAUGCUAAAUGUUGCCUCUACGGCAGAGAACACUUUGAACACAUGCAGCAUCUCCCAUUCAUACACGUUAUUUCAGUUUACCCACACCCCUUCUGCCUCGUACAAAAACAUUUUCACAAAGUGUUCCAUUAAUGAUGCCAACUUUGCAUCACUCUCACACACUCCGACAGACAUUACUGCAACUAUAGAUCUAGAUGCUAUUCACGGCCCCCUGGUUUCCUGCCUCUUUAAGAAGUCCUUGCCCUGCCAGGUGCCUUACUGCCCAGCACUUAUUUGUGGCCCAAAUAACUUGCCUGCUUGGAAGUCCUACUCCCCCAAGAUUUAUCUCUCUGGUGCGGAGCAUAUUUAGGACUACAAGUGAAAACAAUUUGAGUACCUACUUCUUUUUCGAGAGAGGCUUUGCUGAUAGGACAGCAGACCUCUUUGGCUGUAUCCAUCUCAAAUGUCCACCCUACACACAUAGGUGCACAAAUGACCAGUUGCCCAUAAGCUUUGCAGUUAUGUGUUUCAGUACUGCUACCUUAGAAGGAAACACGAAGCCGUUUGCAUUGUGGCAGAGGCUUAGCAAGUCCUUUCACUACUUUACUAGCCCAGAUUAGAUCAAUUCCGGCUAAUCAGACUAAUCCUGGAACAAGCCCUAGAGGUGCAGAUUAAAUCUGUACCUGGAACCAGGCUUUGAGGUACAAGUUAAAUCACAACUGUUCCCCCCCCCCCCUGGCAUCUUUGCGUAUUACCUUCCAAGGAGACAGGUUCAAAAAGCCCAAACUGUUCCAGCACUUUGACGAAUAGGACCAAAACCACCAACACGGCGAUCAUCUCCAGGCCUUCCAGGUUCAUGAUGAGGGGGACUCAUGGCACCGAGGCCCCUCACUCAGCUCCUCGCUCACCGCGGUUCCCCAGCCAGAGUCAUCCACAUGCCAGUGGGUGCCUGGGUCACACGAAACUGCUGCGGUCGCCACCUUCAGCCCUGCUGUUGAAGACUGCCCUCCAUCAGCACUGGAGUACCCAUGGCCCUCCUCAGAGUAGCAAAGAGGCACAGUGGUGGUGCCGGUGGAGAGGAGACAGCAGGGUCAUAGAGCAGGUUGGGUAGUUUGUUGACAGCAGAGUCCAAGCUGUGCUUUCCUGGCAGCGGUGAAAGUGAGAGUGAGAGAAGGAACGUGGCAGCACGAAAGGAGGGAUGUGGCCGGAGGGGGGGAGGGAGAGAUGUGUGCAGAAAAAGCUCUGCCCUUCCAUCCCAUCCCACUGACACCAACUCCAUUGAUCUGCUUAAUGCAGUUGCUAAGGAGAUGGGAGGCCGAGAGUUAAGAGGAUCCUGGCUCAUGUUCAGAAAGGUUCACUGCAGAUGGGAGGGGGGCAACCCGGAGAGACAUGGAGGUGAGUCGCAGAGUGUAAUGUCCCAGCAUUUCUGUGGGGAAAGGACACAGAAUACACCUGCACCUGUAAACGCUGCCUAUUCAAAUUGAUCAGGCCACAGAAACAUUUGAGCUUCAAUGCUUGUGGAGGGUGUGAAUGUGCACGCAGUCUUAAUGGAGUAGUGGAUAAAAUGUCAGGCUAAAACUGGGGAGAGCCAGGUUCAAAUCCCCACUCAGCUAUGAAGCUGAGUGAGUUUUCGCCAGCUGCUUUCUCUCGCUCCACUUCUCCUCAACCUAACCACACAAUUGUGUAGAAAAAGUGGGGAUGGUGAGAAACCUGCAUGCUUGCUUCCUCGGUAGAGGAACAGCGGGAUUUUUUUUAAAAAAAAUGUGAUUUCUGCCACUAUCUUUAAUGUUUAACUAAAAGUAAAGCCUGUUGUAUGAACAAAUACAAUGGGCUCUAGAAAACUGUUGGUGGGUUAACAGCACCCACUGAGGGGGGGCAACCCCUCCUGCCUUUUCUCCACCCUUGGCUCCAUGUCACCAGCUCCAUUCUCAUCCUCUUCCCAGAUGCCUACAUCAGCACACAAGGGUUAAUUGUGAUCCCCCUGCCCUUCCUCCCCCAUCAACCCAUGUCACUAGCUCCUCCUCCUCCUCCUCCUCCUCCUCCCCCUCCUUCUGUUGUGGGAUGCCUGCUCCUCUUCCUGAAUGCCUGAAUCACCACACAACAGUUAACAGCAUAGUUACAGCCACCAGCAGUUGCAGCCGUCCCACGAGGAGUGGCUGACACCUGUGUCUGCUUCUUCUCAGGCUGCUGCAGACAGUAUAGAGACUGCAAUUAUUCAGCAGUGGAGGAGAUGGGUGAGUGUGCAAGACACCAAGUAACCACUGUUUUGUUUGUGUUCUUUUUUACCCCUUCUGUGUAAGCCCCACCCCCCAAGUCAUGUGUGCAUGGUGACUGGCUGGAAGUAAGUCAUCGUCACCACAGCUAGCCUUUCAUAUAGCAAGAUUAUUUAGUUUUUAAAAUAAAUUAUAUAUAUAUGGCCCUCUAUAUAUAUUAUAUAGUGUCUUCUCAAUCUGAUUAAGGAAUCUAAGCUGCCAUGUAGGUUUAAAAUAAAAGUUGCCAUAUGAAUAUUUUAAAUAAAUUAAAUAUAUUUUUAAAUAAUCAGAAGUGCUGUGGCAAACCUUAAUCAAGUAAUGGAAGCCAUCUAUGUACCAACAGUAUACCCAGUCAAACAAGGCCAACAUCCAGUUUUAACUCCAAUUUCUUCUAUGUGGUCUCCACAAUGUUAUCCACCACUCCUGACAGUUUUCCUUGACAUCACCUCCACCCCCUGAAACAUUCUUCCUACCUCUUGGAGGACUUGUGUGAUAGGAAUACCGUAGUAGUGCUGCUUGGGGUUUUGACAGGAUCGCAAUGUUCAGAUUGUACAGUACUUCAUACCCCAGAGAAGUACUGAUAAGUCAACCCAAUAAACUAGGAAGGAACUCUCCUCCUGCCUGACUUCAGAAGGUGCAACCACCUGAGGCCAUAGUCCAGGCUUCAAGGUUCCUUUCCUGUGACUUCCUCACAGCAAGUGCCAGUGGAGAUCUUACUUGGGGAAUUCUACUGGCAGAAGAGGAAGCAAGCCACUGUGCAACUAGUAGCAGGCAGGUAUGUUCCCUGGCUGAGGUUGCUUCAACUACCACUUUUUAAAUCAACAUUUAAAGCUCAAACCAGACAUUUGAAACCAACACACCAGUAUUCAGAGACCUGCAGUUUGUUUAAUAUUGAAAAGGAGACUUGGCAGAGCAAACAAAAGUACAGACACGAAACCAUACUAAGUUUACCUAGCAAGUCCCUUAUUUGUUCACCUUCCAAUUGUUUAUUUUUUAAUGUUUCUCUUUUACAUUAUAUGGCACAGAAUCUAGGUGAUUGUGAGCAGUUCUAAGGUUUUCUAGCUGCUGUCCUGGUUGGCAUUUAAUACAGUAACAAGGAUCUAACAGGGUACUUACCCAUAAUCCCGUCAUGGAAAGGAGAAGGAGGGGAUUGUAGGAAACCUGUGGACAAGUUAUGCCACCUUUGUGAGUCUCACAGAUAAUGAUAUGAACUCCUUCAAUGCUCCUCCCAAUUGCCCCACUGGACUGUUCUCGUUUCCCUUAGCCACAUUCCCUCGUAUGGUCUGUAUUUUUGCUCCAUGCUUUACCCACGAGUAUUUAGACAGCAGCAGCAUUCCUUGAGCUGGCCCUUGGGGUAAACCAGGAUGUAUUCCUAUUUGCUCUUCCUACACUGCAGCUGAGAAAAAUGCCAGGGCUCAGUGCCAGCAUUUAGGGGGAGGCGGGAAGCUUGGCAUGUCACUCAGUCAAGCAGAGCCCAGGGGAGGCUGCCAGCCUGGCAUUGGCGCCUGUUCCUCAGAUAGAGGAAACUCAAGACAAGACUGUGGCCUGAAGGGUGAGAGCAAGGGACCCCUGGACCACUGCCCCUUCUCACAAGAGUCUGCUAAUUUCUACUAUCUGUAGAUCAUUGUUCCUUGGCAAAGACCACACAACUGACCUACAGCCACAUCAGAGCCAAGAAGAGACCGCCUGAAUACUCUGGAACAAGAGGAGAGAUGUAGGCUGCACGUUCUUGUAGUCAUUUCAUGCUGCUUUUGAAAAAGGGAGGGGAAAUCCUGUGGCGUUCCUGAGAUUUUCCUAGCUUUCCCCUCUCUCCCAAACUAGUAAACCACAGUUUCACACUGCAGCUCUGCAAGGUUAAAUGAGACUAGUUUUCCUCUUUAUCAGAUCCCUUCCCUCUGAGAAAUACCUCUGCCAGUGAGGUAUUAAGUACAACAAAGAAUGCAAAACUUCCCAUGUGCCAGUUCUUGCAAAACGGGAAUGAUGGGAACUGUAGUCCAUAACAUCUGGAGGGCCAUGAGUUUGACACCUACGGUCUAGACCAUGGCAGUGUUUUCAACCUCUAGCCUAGAGCCAGGCGAGAGAAGCUGUAACUAUGUUCCUUCUGUUUUAUCUGUGCAAUUUGCUUUUGUUGUUAAUUCUUUGUAGUCACCUUUUUCCAAUAAACACUUAUUUGAUUCAUAGUGA